AUUGAACGCUGGCGGCAGGCCUAACACAUGCAAGUCGAGCGAGCGGCGGACGGGUGAGUAAUGUAUGGGGACUGCCCGUUAGAGGGGGAUUACUACUGGAAACGGUGGUCAAUUCCGCAUUCUGUAGGAUAACUCAUAUGGGAUUAGCUAGUUGGUAAGGUAAUGGCUUACCUAGGCGUCGAUCCCUAGCCUGUCUGAGAGGAUGAUCGGCCACAUGGGGACGUAGACACGGCCCAGACUCCUACGGAGGCAGCAGAGUGGAAUAUGGGACAAUGGGCGCAAGCCUGAUGCAGCCAUGCCGCGUGUGUGAAGAAGGCCCUGGGGGUGUAAAGUACUUUCAGUCGGGAGGCGUUACCGACAGAAGAAGCACCGGCUAACUCCGUGCCAGCAGCCGCGGUAAUUC
rnacentral:rRNA from 1 species